rnacentral:rRNA from 1 species
AACGUAGGAGCCAAGCGUUAUCCGAAUUCACUGGGCGUAAAGCGCGUGCAGGCGGCUGGGUAAGUUGGAUGUGAAAUCUCCUGGCUCAACUGGGAGAGGCCGUUCAAUACUACCUGGCUUGAGGGCGACAGAGGGAGGUGGAAUUCCGGGUGCAGUGGUGAAAUGCGUAGAUAUCCGGAGGAACACCAGAGGCGAAGGCGACCUCCUGGGUCGUACCUGACGCUGAGAUGCGAAAGCUAGGGGAGCAAACGGG